GGCACACUAUUGCGCGCACACACAGACACGUGCGCAUACACAGGAGAGCUGCGCUCUCCAGCGGACACAGAGCGUGAGUCCGCAACUACCGCACCCCUCCCGUCGGACAGCCCCCCACUGAAGUAUUAAACAGAGGGUGUAACGACGUUCCUUCGGUGCUGUUCGCCAUUAAGCCACAUUGAGCUGCAGACACGUGACUCCAUUUCUUCACGCAAAUGACGGCAGAUCGUUUGAUUCUUUUCGUCUUUAUUUUACACAGCAUAGCGUUAACUAAACAUAGAAAUAAUAAUAAAUUCUAUCACAUGGUGGAUAAACAAUAUGCUCUUUUGCUUAAUCAGAAAUAAUUUUAAAUGCACCGGUUUAGCACCGAAAAACCCCCCGAUACCAAUCCCUACUCUCCUCAAAGGUUACUGACAUCUUGUGGUUAACAGCCAAUCGUGUAUUUGGAUAAAACACAAUUAGUUGAGACUGUAGUUGAUUGAGGGUUUCAAGGUUUAAAUUAGUUUUGUUUUUACAGAAGCAUGGCGUAAUCAUCUCAAUAAACGAGAGCCAACUUUGGUUGCUGUGAAUCUGAUCUAGAAGACAGCGUUCUGCAAAAUAGUCAAGCUGUUUGACAUCUCUUAACACGAGAAACGAUAAAAGAAAUAAAAAGAAAAUUGAAUGAGUCUGAUUAAUGUUUUCUGUUUUGAUUCAAAGAAUCUUAAGAAAAACCCUUUAGAUUUGUAAACUACUGCCUAAUAGUCUCAUUACUGCCAUUUUAUGGCAAUUACAUAUACAUCCAAAUAUAGUCCAAAUAAGUAUAUUUAAUCGUUUUAACAAAGGUAUUAUGUUAUUUCACUAGUUUAAUGAAAAAAUGCCGCCAAUUUUUUGAUAAAACAACCCUGCUUUUCAGUUAGUGGGGGCAAGUGCGUAACAAUGCAUUCUUUAGGAAAUAUUGAGAAAAUACCAAUCUAACCCCCCCAAUAUACAUGGUUACGCCCUUGAAUGGGGCCUAAAUAUUAUGUGAAUUUCCUACCCUGCUAUGGCAUGACAUAUUAUGCAGCACGAUAAAGUGUCAUUAAUGUCUACAUUGAAUCAACGGUGCUAGAAUAUUUGGUGUUUGGUUGUCCUCCCCCAAAGCCCAUAUAUAUGGAUAACUUGCCAACGAUAUAAACUAUUUGACAAAAGUAUAUAGAUAACACUGCAAUAAGUAAGACAAAUCUUUCGAUAUGAGACAGGCUGUCUCAGUUGAGUUGGGGUCUGAUAGGCGCAGAUACGAAGACAAUUGGUUGAAGUUGUCAACAUCAAAGGGGGCUGACUUUGGCAGUCUAGAAAGCUUUUGGAAUACACCCUGAAACCAGAGAUGGGGAUGGUGAGAAGAAAUUCAGUCUGAAGAAGAGUAAAUGGGAUUGGGUCAAGGGUGUAUGUGGUGAGGCAGUUAGACUACAUACUGAAACCUCUUGUGAAGCAACAUAAGGCCUCCUGAUGGUAUCAGCCCCAGGGUGCUGAAGACCUGCGCCAUCCAGCUGUCUAAAGCCCACCAACAUCUCCUUAUUCUGAACCUAAAGCAGCAGGCAGUCCCGAUGCUGUAGGAGACACCGUGGCCUCAAUGACCACUGACUAGUUGCCCUCACAUCCCAUGUGAUGAAGGUGCUGGAGAGGCUGCUCUUGACCCACCUUCAAGCCCAGAUAAAAUCAUCACCGGGCCCUCUGCAAUUUGCAUUGCCUUAUGUGGGAGUGGAUGACGCCAUCAUCUACCUGCUGCCACGAGCCCAGUCGCACCUGGAUGGUGGCUCUAUCCCUUUCUUUGACUUCUCCAAUCAGUGAUUCUGGCGCUUCACAGUUCUGUGUACCUUGUACACAACUCACUUCAGUUAGGGCAGCUCCGACCGCUGGGCGCUACAUGACUUGUAAAAAUAAAUGCUGCAGCCUGCCGAAGAGCAACGUCAGUUUUUACGGCAUAAUGCCGGUAUGAACAGUGCGUGAGUUACCGUAAAACCUUGAUUAAAGACUACAUAGAAGACUGUAAAAAUUGUCAGCCCCUCCCCACUCUUUAUUCUUAAACCGGAAAUAUGAUCAUUAGCGCCUAAAAGAACGUUUUGUGUAUUCUUGUGUGAGUACUACACUUUUGAAUGCUAUUUCCCAUUCUAAAUUCAUAAUUUAUGUCUGCACAUAUAAAUACUUGUUCUGAAUACAAGGGCUUGUAAAUGUAGUAGUUGUAGUUUUUAUUCUUAAAAUAUCAAUGUUUGUCUACAUUUUUAAUUGUUCAAAAAUGCUUCCAGUUUUAUUAGAAAUUAAAUAAAAUACAUAUUAAAAUGUAUACUUAAUUCUAGUUGAGUAAUAUCGUCUCAACUUCACCAGGUAUUUUAUGUAAUCCUUCGGUUUUAGUAAUUACUAUUACCCUUCUACGUUAUUAACAAGGCCCAGCAGAACAGGCUGAGCCCCAAUGCUCCCUCAAGCUAAUGGUGACUGAAGGAGUGGGGGGAUGGGCGAGGGUACGGUGGGGACAGUCAAUGUCAGGUUUUGUGUUAAGAACCUUAAGUUUCGUUUCUUUACACAAAACCGAACUGUUACCAUCCACGUGGGGUCCUCGGUCUGGCCACGCCCCCACCAAGCACCUGCUACCGUCCAUUUCCCUCAGACUGCCGAGCAGCAGACAACGUGACGGUGCUGGCUGCAGAAGCUGGAUAGAAAUGGUGAGUUUUUAAUUAUUGGACUAGCUUCUAAUGUAAAACAGUGCUUUUUACGUUUACUUUGAUACUAUUAAUAUAUGUACUGCCAUAUAAAAUGAGCUGUUGCAAUGUGCUAAACUCAACUUAGAUGGGAAGCUAAUGUUAGCUAACAAUAAGCAAGCAUGUGCAACUAGCACCACAAAUAGUGCUGUUAAGUUUACUUUGAUACUAUUUUCAUAUAUACUGCCAUAUAAAAUGAGCUGUUGCAAUGUGUUAAACUCAACUUAAAUGGACAGCUAAUGUUAGCUAACAAUAAGCAAGCAUGUGCAAGCAGCAGCAUGUGCACGCGUUGUGAAAUAGAAUGCUGGACAGCUAAUUAGUUAUUUAUUAUAUACUUUAUAAAUAUAUUCAUGUUUUAUCAAUAUCUUUUCACACAUAAUGUGAAUAUUAUGCUCAACAAAGGGAGUGUAAUACUUAAUCUGCGUUAAGACCUGGAUUAUAACUAAUUUCCCUUUAACCAUUUUAAGUAUCCUUACGUUGGCUUUUGGGCCUAUAACACUUAAUAAGCAGUUUUCCAUUUGCCCAAAGAGUGAUUGUAAUAUCUACCCAUGUAUAAAUAGGCAUUUUAAUUCAGAUUGUCAUAGGUAUUGAGAUAGAUAAUAUAAUGUUUGUCGUUAAGAACAGAAGUAGAUGUUGUUACUAUAAUGCAUUCCAUAACAGAUAAACUUAAUUCAUUUCAUUAAAAAAAAAAAAAAAGAGUACUGUAAUGAGUUGGAUGUAUAGCUUUGGCUGAAUGUGUCCCUUGUGCUUUUAGGAGGAUGGAGCAUGUUUGCCAUCCAGUAGUGACAGCUCGAAGUGCACAGAUGCUGAUGUCGGAGAAAUGAAGGAGCCUUUGACCGUGAACAUACUAACCAGGUAGUUCCGAUGAAAAGAUGCUGCUGGCUGGAGAGGUCUGGUGAAUCUCACACAAAAAAGGGUCACCACAAACAAAGAAGAAGUGGACCAAAGAGGAAAUCGAAGCUGUUGAAAGGACCUUAAUGGACUACAUCAAUGGUGGUCAGUGGUCAGAAAUGCAUCACAACAUCGUCACUGGCCGAUCAAGGGAUGAGUUGUCAAAAUAUAUAUUAAAAACUGAAUUUAAAAGAAUUAAAAAAAAGGUAAGCCGCAUUUUCAUCAGAUGGAAGAUUAAAUUCCUGGUGGACUGCCAGCACGUUUACAGACAUUGUUUACAGUAGUCUUAUUGCUCCCUGUUCUGUAAUUGUUAACUUUAUAUAAUAUUUGAAAGUUGAUGAUGAUGCUUUAAACUGCAUAGUUUUAAAAAAAUAAAGAUGCAAUAUAUCAAACAAUAUUAUAGAGUGGGGUUUAAUAUACAUAGAUAAUGAGUCAUUAUACAAUGAUAAUGAGUCAUUAUACAAUUAUAACAUUCAAUGGUGUAUAUAUUCAGCAUGAAUUGACAAAAUAUGUAUUAAGUGCCUUAGAGUUUCUAAAAAGUACCCUUUAUUGAGUACCUUACCUUGUUUGAGACACAUUUUGAACACUGCCCCCUGGUGUGAUUUUGUAUUAUGACAUAAUUGGACGGUCCCCACCGGAAUAGAGAAACCAGAAAAAUAUUCAACUCUAUAAAUUUGUGAAAUUUUGAGAUUUAAGGUGAUAUUGGGGUUUGAAAAAAAUUAAGGAAAAUGAUUUGAUUGAAAGUAUGCCAUUAUUCUGUUAAAAAAAAUGAGGUCCCCACGCUUCACCUCUGUGCAUAAGUCCCCACCGGCAUAGAAGAACCCGUCUGUGUGUGUGUGCGUGUGUGUGUGUGUGUGUGUGUGUGUGUGUGUGUGUGCCUCCAUGUCUGCUGACAGUAACCUACUUUUAUGGAGCCCACUCACUCAGAAUGAUAAAAAAUACUGCAAUUCUCCCUCCUCUCUCUCCGCCGGUCUCCUCCUCCACCUCCUAUCUUCUUCUCGUCCUCCCCACUCCUCCCUCCAUCUUCUCUCCUCAUCCUCAUCUGCUCCUUCAUCGUCUUUGGUUCCUCUUCCCUUUCUCUUUCUACAUCCAUUGUUUAUUUCUAUCCCUCGAUCCAUCAUUCCUCCUUUGCUUUCUCUCCUUUUCUCCCUCGUGUUCACUCCCUCGCUCCUACUCUUCCUCCCUUGUCUCCCCCUCAGUACCUCCUCAUCCCCCCCACUUCUGCACUCAAUUCUUGUCCCUUCCUUUGUACUGUUGUGUUCCUCCGUUCUCCCUCGCUUUGAUGCGGAUGCUGCAGCCGUCGGGCCGGCUGGGUUCAGAGUGAAGGAUGGAGGGAGCGAGAGAGAAGGAAAGGGAACAAGGGAAUGACAGAAGGGAAAGUAAGGACGGAAGACGAGGUCGCAGAGAGUAUAUCUUCCGGCACAACUGGUCUAUAUUAAGAGGAAAGAGGACGAGAUGAAGAUGAUGCAGCGAAGUGAUGCUGCUGGACAUUUAAACUAAAGAGGAAAGUUGGUUUUGAGAUUUGGUUGAGGUGAACUUUUACUUGUUUACUCUUACUUUGCUGUCCCUUGUGAUUCACACAACAUUAUACCAGCUGUCAGACUAGUUGACCACCUGACAAGAAGCCCCC